rnacentral:tRNA from 1 species
GUGUAUGAGUCGGAUACUGGUUAGCCGAGCCUGACUGUGAAUCAGGAGAUCAUACAGAUCGUGCGGGUUCGAUUCCCGUCGUACACC